rnacentral:rRNA from 1 species
GACAGAGGUGCCGAGCGUUAGGCGGAAUCACUGGGCUUAAAGCGUGUGUAGGCGGGCCGUUAAGUGCCCCGUGAAAUCCCCCGGCUCAACCGGGGAACGGCGGGGCAUACUGGCGGCCUUGAGCCACUUAAGGGCAGACGGAACAAGCGGUGGAGCGGUGAAAUGCGUAGAUAUCGUCUGGAACGCCAACGGUGAAAACAGACUGCUGGGAGUGUGCUGACGCUGAGACACGAAAGCCAGGGGAGCAAACGGG